GGCAGUCGAACGGUGAUGGCCAGCUUGCUGGUCUGAUCAGUGGCGAACGGGUGAGUAACACGUGAGCAACCUGCCCUUCACUCUGGGAUAACCACGGGAAACGGUGGCUAAUACCGGAUAUGAGACGUACACGCAUGUGUCGCGUCUGGAAAGAUUUAUCGGUGAAGGAUGGGCUCGCGGCCUAUCAGCUUGUUGGUGGGGUAGUGGCCCACCAAGGCGACGACGGGUAGCCGGCCUGAGAGGGCGACCGGCCACACUGGGACUGAGACACGGCCCAGACUCCUACGGGAGGCAGCAGUGGGGAAUAUUGCACAAUGGGCGCAAGCCUGAUGCAGCGACGCCGCGUGAGGGAUGACGGCCUUCGGGUUGUAAACCUCUUUCAGCAGGGAAGAAGCGCAAGUGACGGUACCUGCAGAAGAAGCGCCGGCUAACUACGUGCCAGCAGCCGCGGUAAUACGUAGGGCGCAAGCGUUGUCCGGAAUUAUUGGGCGUAAAGAGCUCGUAGGCGGUUUGUCGCGUCUGCUGUGAAAACCUAAGGCUCAACCUUGGGCUUGCAGUGGGUACGGGCAGACUAGAGUGCGGUAGGGGUGACUGGAAUUCCUGGUGUAGCGGUGGAAUGCGCAGAUAUCAGGANGAACACCGAUGGCGAANGCAGGUCACUGGGCCGCAACUGACGCUGANGAGCGAAAGCAUGGGGAGCGAACAGGAUUAGAUACCCUGGUAGUCCAUGCCGUAAACGUUGGGCACUANGUGUGGGGCUCAUUCCACGAGUUNCGUGCCGCAGCAAACGCAUUNAGUGCCCCGCCUGGGGAGUACNGCCGCNAGGNUAAAACUCAAAGAAAUUGACGGGGGNCCGCACAAGCGGCGGANCAUGCNGAUUAAUUCNAUGCAACGCGAAGAA
rnacentral:rRNA from 1 species